GAUAAAAAUAUAGAUCACUGAAGGUUAAUUAGCAGUAUAACUAUAAAUAGUAAUGCUUUCAGUCUCCUUCAGACAAGA
rnacentral:snoRNA from 1 species